GUUUAUUUGGAGUGGGGUGUUUGUUUUGUUUUUGUAGUCUGUAGGAUUAUUUAGUUGUUUUUUUUCCAGAGUGGCAACCUUCUGCAGAGAAGAUUCUUCAGUCUCCUGCACAGAGGACAUAUGCCUCACUGCUAGUGUUUAGAGAAAAAAGGGUUUAGACAUGAGGUGAUCCUCAGUGUUCAGUAUAUGAACUUCAUCUGAUCUUUCUAGAUCAGGGUUUCUCAACCAUUAGCACUAUUGGCAUUUUCUCUUGUGAGGGUCUGCCUGGUCUUGGUAGGACGUUUAGCUGCAUCCUUGUCCUCUACUAUCUAGGUGCCAGUAGUACAUACUCCCCUCUAGUUGUAACAACUAAAAAUGUUCCCUGAAGGACAAAAUCAUUUAAGAAUCAUUGCUCGAGGUAAAAAGUUAACAGUAGAUCUGAGCCCUAAUUUUUCAUGAAAAUUUUUUGGGGUUUUUCCUUUUCUUGGUGUUCUCUCCUGGAAACAUACUGGAUUGGAAUUAAGUAUAGAAUGUCUCCAGAUAAUAGUGUUUAUUACAAAAUGGACCCCUGAUUACUAAGUUUAGGUAGACCAGGAAGACUGUUCGUGAAGAACCAUAUAAGCCUAUGAGAAGAUGCAGAACUUGACUUCCUGGUGUACAGUGUAAUGCUUGUCGAUGAGCAUGAACAUGUCCCUUAGGAGCCCUGGAACUUGUCCUCAUUGGCUGUUAAAAGAUUCUACUGGUUCCCAUGGAGCAUGAAGUUUCUCCGGGCAGUGUGAUUUUUGCAUUUGCCCAUAUAGUCUCUUGUCCUUUAUGAGGAGCUGUCACUUGUGGACUCAAAAAAGGCCCCUGCUGGGUAGUGUGAACUCCCUCUGAAGAUGGUGUAUUUAAUGCUAGCAUGCCAGCAUUCUCUUUUUCUUUCUGCAGAACUGAGUGAACCCCAUACUAAGCAGAGCAACCUUUCUCAUGGCUUCACUGAAAUUUUUUCAUGUGUACCAACUUGGUGUUAAAUUCCAAUUUGACUGGCCUAGUGAAUUUAACAGCAGAAGAAAUAGCUAUCAGAUGAAAGAAGAGACUGAAGAUUUGGUUAAUCUGGGGGAAAAUCUAGUUCACAAGAGCAUUUUUCAUAUAUACUUUCUGUCAGCACUGGCAUAUAUGCUCUAACUCACAUUAUGUGUAUUUCUUGGGAAUCUACAUUUUUCGCUUCUCUGCAGAAAUAAAAUGACUUUAUUUGAUUUUA